GAUGAAGAACGUAGCGAAAUGCGAUACUUGGUGUGAAUUGCAGAAUCCCGUGAACCAUCGAGUCUUUGAACGCGAGUUGCGCCCGAAGCCAUUAGGCCGAGGGCACGCCUGCCUGGGUGUCACACACCGUUACCCUCGCGCCAACGUCCAUCGUUGGCCGCGGCGCGGGGCGUGCGCUGACCUCCCGCGAGCGGGGUCUCGUGGUUGGUUGAAAAUCGAGUUCGCGGUCGAGGGUGCCGUGAUGAAAUGGUGGAUGGGCGACGCCCGAGGCCAAUCACGCGCGACUCCGUCCGGCUCGGACUCCUGGACCCCUUCGGCGUCUCCGGACGCUCUUUGGCGAGACCUCAGGUCAGGCGGGGCUACCCGCUGAGUUUAAGCAUAUCAAUAAGCGGAGGA
rnacentral:misc_RNA from 1 species